rnacentral:lncRNA from 1 species
UUUCCUUCUGCCCAAAGGUGUUAGGAUUUCGAAAACCAAUGUAAUUUUGUUAACUGGCUACAUGAUGUGUUUUAAGAGUACCUUAUAGCAUGUUGUAUUGUCGACCUAAAGGUGACUUUAUGAUGAUGCACCUAGGCUCUUACCGUAAUAAAAUUCGUAUGUUUCGAUUUAAAUUAUGGAUUAUCUAAUUAAUAGCCCAUAUUAAUUAAUUGGAUAUUUCAUCAUCCAUUUGAUUGCACGCAUUAAGUUUGGAUGAUAUUAAGAGUGAUAUUUUAUGUUUCCACAGUUUAUAAUGCCUCAUCUCUUUCGAAUCAAAUGUCUGCUAUUGAAACUUUGACUGGGAAUAACUAUGUGAGAUGGAAACGAGACGUAGAAAUAGCAUUUCGUCUUUUGGGCUUGGAUUUUGCAAUGGAGAAAAGGCUUGAAAAACCCUCAGAUAAGAGUACCGUUGAAUAUGUAGCCGAGCAUGAAAAGUGGGAAAGGGCUAACAAACUCUGUUUGAAAAUCAUUAAGCGAUCGUUAUCUGAUUCCAUUCUAGGUGCCAUCCCUGAUAAUGAAAAUGCCAAAAAUUUUAUGGAUGCCAUAGGAGAAAAAUUUAUUGAGUCUGAUAAAGUCGAAACUGGGGAUCUGAUGGAUAAAUUUAUGAGCAUGAAAUAUGAUGGUACAAGUGGUGUUAGGGAACAUGUCAUGAAAGUGAUAAAUAUAUCAUCUAAGCUAAAGGCUCUUGACAUUCCCAUUGCGGAGCCUUUCCUGUUCUAUCAUGUUUUGAAUAGCCUUCCUAGCAAGUUUAAUCAGCUUAAGGUUGCUUACAAUGCUCAGCGGGAUAAGUGGAAUUUGAAUAACCUCAUAGCAGUGUGUGCCCAAGAAGAGUAUGGGAUGCGCCGUGAAAUUGUUGAAACUGUGCAAUUAGCUUUUCAGCCAUCACAGAAUAAGGGGCCUUUUCACAAUCAUAAACCUAAGUUUCGUAAGGAUAAUAAGUCUCACCGAAGUCAACAGAAUAAAAAUUUUAGUGGUCCCAAAGGAGUUAUAAAGAAAAAUGAUCAAUGCAAGUUCUGUAAAAAGAAGGGUCACUGGCAGAAAGAUGUACCUUUGAAUUCUUGGUGGUUAGACUCGGGAGCUAGUAUUCAUAUUGCGAAUUCCUUGCAGGGGUUCAUAAGCAAACGGAGGCCAAGUGAGAAUGAAGUAAGCUUGAGCGUUGCAAAUGGAUUUCAAGUGAAGGUUGAAUUCAUAGGAGUAGUGAAGUUAACUUUAGAGUCUGAUUUUUAUCUUGUUUUGGAAAAUACAGUUUAUGUACCGCAGAUGAGACGGA